AUACGGAGGAUGCAAGCGUUAUCCGGAUUUAUUGGGUUUAAAGGGUGCGUAGGCGGAUGAUUAAGCGUGAGGUGAAAUGCCACUGCUCAACAGUGGAACUGCCUCGCGAACUGGUUGUCUUGAAUGCUCCUGCCGUGGGAGGAAUGUGUGGUGUAGCGGUGAAAUGCAUAGAGAUCACACAGAACACCGAUUGCGAAGGCAUCUCACGAAGGGGUGAUUGACGCUGAGGCACGUAAGCGUGGGGAUCAAACAGGAUUAGAUACCCUGGUAGUCCACGCAGUAAACGAUGAUAACUAACCGCUGGGUCGUAGUGAUUCAGUGGCCAAGCGAAAGCGAUAAGUUAUCCACCUGGGGAGUACGACCGCAAGGUUGAAACUCAAAGGAAUUGACGGG
rnacentral:rRNA from 1 species